AUUGAACGCUGGCGGCAUGCCUUACACAUGCAAGUCGAACGGCAGCACGGGUGCUUGCACCUGGUGGCGAGUGGCGAACGGGUGAGUAAUACAUCGGAACGUACCUUAUCGUGGGGGAUAACGCAGCGAAAGCUGUGCUAAUACCGCAUACGCCCUGAGGGGGAAAGCGGGGGAUCGCAAGACCACGCGCGAUUAGAGCGGCCGAUGCCUGAUUAGCUUGUUGGUGGGGUAAGAGCCCACCAAGGCGACGAUCAGUAGCUGGUCUGAGAGGACGAUCAGCCACACUGGGACUGAGACACGGCCCAGACUCCUACGGGAGGCAGCAGUGGGGAAUUUUGGACAAUGGGGGCAACCCCGAUCCAGCAAUGCCGCGUGAGUGAAGAAGGCCUUCGGGUUGUAAAGCUCUUUUGUCAGGGAAGAAACACCGGCUCUAACACAGUCUGGGAAUGACGGUACCUGAAGAAUAAGCACCGGCUAACUACGUGCCAGCCGCCGCCGUAA
rnacentral:rRNA from 1 species